GUGUCAGCAGCCGCGGUAAGACAGAGGUGCCGAGCGUUAGGCGGAAUCACUGGGCUUAAAGCGUGUGUAGGCGGGCCCGUAAGUACCUUGUGAAAUCCCACCGCUCAACGGUGGAACUGCUCGGUAUACUGCGGGUCUUGAGCCACCUAGGGGCAGCCGGAACAAGCGGUGGAGCGGUGAAAUGCGUAGAUAUCGCUUGGAACGCCAACGGUGAAAACAGACUGCUGGGGGUGUGCUGACGCUGAGACACGAAAGCCAGGGGAGCGAACGGGAUUAGAAACCCCGGUAGUCC
rnacentral:rRNA from 1 species